UUUUGCGGAAUGGUGGCAUAGAUGGAGUCGCCACGACGCUCCCGCCCAACCUGUGGUGCCUCCGGUGUGUCUAGGGGCACCACCCAUCUCCGGCGGACCGGAGUCUAAUCCAGGCGGCUUGACGGCCGGCCCAUCUCCCCAGAUACUUAAGGCUAACAUUGGCAGAGUAAUAUAGAGUUCCUAAUGGACUCAUUCCCGGCGAAACGUCACCCUAGCCCGGGAUGCGCUCGCGCCAAGACUGCGGCAGCGGAGAAGAAGCGGCGGUCCGCUUAAGGAAAAAGCCACAACUGGCUGGAGAAGUACGCUAGAUUCCCUUUUCCUUUCUACCUAUUAUCCCUGCUGGAGCUCCAAGAGAAAUAAAGGGGAUGGAACUCGUGUUGCACAAAUCCCUGACCCAAGUUAAGAGACGCGGAGAAACAAGCACACGGAACCAAUUAUAGUAAGACAAAUAAAUUAACCUAACAAAAACAACAGCACACUAAUUAUUUUAUU